GGACCAUUAACUCAAUUGGUAAGAGUACCCGGCUCAUAACCGGGCGGCUAUAGGUUCGAGUCCUAUAUGGUCCA
rnacentral:tRNA from 1 species